rnacentral:rRNA from 1 species
GACGAACGCUGGCGGCGUGCUUAACACAUGCAAGUCGAACGGAAAGGCCCUGCUUUUGUGGGGUGCUCGAGUGGCGAACGGGUGAGUAACACGUGAGUAACCUGCCCUUGACUUUGGGAUAACUUCAGGAAACUGGGGCUAAUACCGGAUAGGAGCUCCCGCUGCAUGGUGGGGGUUGGAAAGUUUCGGCGGUUGGGGAUGGACUCGCGGCUUAUCAGCUUGUUGGUGGGGUAGUGGCUUACCAAGGCUGUGACGGGUAGCCGGCCUGAGAGGGUGACCGGCCACAUUGGGACUGAGAUACGGCCCAGACUCCUACGGGAGGCAGCAGUGGGGAAUAUUGCACAAUGGGCGGAAGCCUGAUGCAGCAACGCCGCGUGCGGGAUGACGGCCUUCGGGUUGUAAACCGCUUUCGCCUGUGACGAAGCGUGUGUGACGGUAAUGGGUAAAGAAGCACCGGCUAACUACGUG